GACGAACGCUGGCGGCGUGCUUAACACAUGCAAGUCGAACGGUAAGGCUCCAGCUUGCUGGGGUACACGAGUGGCGAACGGGUGAGUAACACGUGGGUGACCUGCCCUGCACUUCGGAAUAAGCCUGGGAAACUGGGUCUAAUACCGGAUAGGACCAUGGUGUGGAUACUGUGGUGGAAAGUUUUUUCGGUGUGGGAUGGGCCCGCGGCCUAUCAGCUUGUUGGUGGGGUAAUGGCCUACCAAGGCGGCGACGGGUAGCCGGCCUGAGAGGGUGGACGGCCACAUUGGGACUGAGACACGGCCCAGACUCCUACGGGAGGCAGCAGUGGGGAAUAUUGCACAAUGGGCGGAAGCCUGAUGCAGCGACGCCGCGUGGGGGAUGACGGCCUUCGGGUUGUAAACUCCUUUCACCAUCGACGAAGGGUUUCUGACGGUAGAUGGAGAAGAAGCACCGGCUAACUACGUG
rnacentral:rRNA from 1 species